rnacentral:tmRNA from 1 species
GGGGGCGUAAAGGUUUCGACAGGAGCGUUGAAAAAAGAGAAGCGAGUAGCGGUGCGGAACCGCUUUAAAAUCCGCAUUUUUAAAAUUAACUGACAACAAUAAAGUUGCACUUGCUGCUUAAUUAAAGCAGCCGUCCGAUUUUGAAGUACCGCGGUCAAAUGAGGGCGUCGAUUAGCGGUGAACGUGAAGCAGAGGAGCGUUCCGACCCUGCUCACGGCUUAGGAACUACCGUAGCUGCAAGCCUGACUAUCGGCGUGCGGUGAGGGGAAGCUUAAAAGACAGUCUGCACUCGGAGAAGCCUUUUGGAGAUACUUUUGGACGCGAGUUCGAUUCUCGCCGCCUCCACCA